CCCCCCCCCCCCCCCCCCCCCCCCCGGGGCCGCGCCGGCAGCCAGCGGGAGGUGUCGGGUGCGCGUCCCGUGUCGGCACGCGUGGGGCGGCGCGGCGCGGCGCGGCAGGGCACGAAGGAAAGAAUCUACAAUCUACAACUCAUCGCACGCAAUCUACAGCUUCUUCGUGAGGGGAAGAGCAGGGACAGGCUCUGAUCUCUGUUCUGUGUGACAGGGACAGCACCCAGGGAACGGCUGGAGCGGUGUCAGGGAGAGUUAGGGUGGAUAUCAGGAAAAGUUUCUUCUCCCAGAGAGCGGUGGGGCAGUGAAUAGACUCCCCAGGGAAAGGUCACGGCCCCAAGGCUGCCAGAGCUCCAGGAGCCUUAGGAUAAUGCUGUCAGGCACAAGGUGCGAGCGCUGGGAACGGUCUUGCGCAGAGCCGGGAGUUGGACUCGAUCCUUGUGAGUCCCAACUCAGGGCAUAUCCCGCGAAUUCGGGAACAUGGCAUUGCGCGGCGUGGGUGGGCGCACCAUGUGUGUCAGUGCGGACACGCAUGGCCACAGAUGGAUGCCUGAACUGGAGCAUCAGGGACAGGUCCUUCUCCACUUUCACCACAGACAAGGAAAAAAAAGUAUUUCUACACGCACAAAGCGUUUUGCCUUACUUCUCUGUGUACCCGAAUGCUCGAGGGCAUGGUCCUG
rnacentral:lncRNA from 12 species